GAUGAACGCUGGCGGCGUGCCUAAUACAUGCAAGUCGAGCGAACAGAUGAGGAGCUUGCUCCUCUGACGUUAGCGGCGGACGGGUGAGUAACACGUGGAUAACCUACCUAUAAGACUGGGAUAACUUCGGGAAACCGGAGCUAAUACCGGAUAAUAUAUUGAACCACAUGGUUCAAUAGUGAAAGACGGUUUUGCUGUCACUUAUAGAUGGAUCCGCGCCGCAUUAGCUAGUUGGUAAGGUAACGGCUUACCAAGGCAACGAUGCGUAGCCGACCUGAGAGGGUGAUCGGCCACACUGGAACUGAGACACGGUCCAGACUCCUACGGGAGGCAGCAGUAGGGAAUCUUCCGCAAUGGGCGAAAGCCUGACGGAGCAACGCCGCGUGAGUGAUGAAGGUCUUCGGAUCGUAAAACUCUAUUAUUAGGGAAGAACAAAUGUGUAAGUAACUAUGCACGUCUUGACGGUACCUAAUCAGAAAGCCACGGCUAACUACGUG
rnacentral:rRNA from 1 species